rnacentral:rRNA from 1 species
GACAGAGGGGGCUAGCGUUGUUCGGAAUUACUGGGCGUAAAGCGCACGUAGGCGGCUUUGUAAGUUAGAGGUGAAAGCCCAGGGCUUAACCCUGGAAUUGCCUUUAAGACUGCAUCGCUAGAAUCGUGGAGAGGUGAGUGGAAUUCCGAGUGUAGAGGUGAAAUUCGUAGAUAUUCGGAAGAACACCAGUGGCGAAGGCGACUUACUGGGACACGUAUUGACGCUGAGGUGCGAAAGCGUGGGGAGCAAACAGG